rnacentral:lncRNA from 1 species
CGGCGCUGCAGGCGGGGCCUGCCCCGCACGUCACCGGCAAGAUGGCGGCGCCCGGCUGGCCUAGCCUGGCGGAGCGGGGGAGCCCCCUGCCCCAACUCGGAGGGAUGAUGAGUUUGGGAAGAGGGAAUAAGAUGUACUCAGAUAAUACAGUGAUGAGAAGCAGUAUAUAACCCUCAGAUAGAAGGAUAAGAGACUUGUG